rnacentral:rRNA from 1 species
AGUGAACGCUGGCGGUAGGCCUAACACAUGCAAGUCGAACGGCAGCACAGUAAGAGCUUGCUCUUACGGGUGGCGAGUGGCGGACGGGUGAGGAAUACAUCGGAAUCUACUUUUUCGUGGGGGAUAACGUAGGGAAACUUACGCUAAUACCGCAUACGACCUACGGGUGAAAGCAGGGGAUCUUCGGACCUUGCGCGAUUGAAUGAGCCGAUGUCGGAUUAGCUAGUUGGGGGGGUAAAGGCCCACCAAGGCGACGCUCCGUAGCUGGUCUGAGAGGAUGAUCCGCCACAAUGGAACUGAGACACGGUCCAGACUCCUACGGGAGGCAGCAGUGGGGAAUAUUGGACAAUGGGCGCAAGCCUGAUCCAGCCAUACCGCGUGGGUGAAGAAGGCCUUCGGGUUGUAAAGCCCUUUUGUUGGGAAAGAAAAGCAGCAGGUUAAUACCCCGCUGUUCUGACGGUACCCAAAGAAUAAGCACCGGCUAACUUCGUG